AACAAUACUGACUUGCAAACAAUAUUGUAGAAACAAACAUCAGAGUUACCCGUUGCUUGGACGAGUACAGCUGAGGCAACAAGUUCAGUUGUACAAAUGGAACAAACAAAACUGUGCUUAUACCUAUUGCGAUGCGCAAGAAAGUCUGACGACGAUGAUGGACAAGCUCGCCGGGAGCAAUAGGCGAUGCAAACAACACACUGAGAUUCAGAGAUAGCGACAAACUCACGUCUGUCAUUAGCACAUCAAGAAGAGAGCAACACAACACGUCAUUUUCCCCUAACGAAAAUUAGAAUAUGAAGUCUCCAAAAGAAAGGGUGUGGCAUGCCAUCCAAAUGGAGCAUCAGAGGCGAGGUUAAUUCAUCAUCUAGCAAUGACCUCUUUGUGGGAGGGAGCACCGUGGAGGCACAGUGUGUCAAAUCCGUCCGGCCGCUACAGUGACAUUUGAACUUCUUGCAGCGGCACCAGCUUCCUGCAGGGGCAUGGCGGAGGAGAACUGCAUGGCACGUGAGAGGCGGGAUCAGGAGUAGCUCCAGGAUGGAAAGGGGUGUAAAGGUGGAGAAGGUCAGGGGUGAAGGGUCACCGGGGCGACGCACUGGUGCGAGAAGGCAUGGCGGCGCUCGGACGGUGCGUGGCUGCGAGAAGGAAGACGACGUUCAGUAGCAGCGAGGCAUCUGGCGACGACCACAACUAGGCGGGGG
rnacentral:lncRNA from 1 species